rnacentral:lncRNA from 12 species
GAGCGUUGCCCGGAAAUGGUUAUUAAACACUUCCUACUCUAGUCAUGUUGCUAGGAUCCUAGAAACGAAUGUAAAAAUAAAUAAAUAAUUAAAUAAAUAGCUAUAUGAUUAGAAGGCGCAUGUAAAUAGCGAGGACAGAUUUAGAAACAAAAUGUAUUUACAUUGUUACUGUGGGGGACAAUAUAAAACAAACUGGUAUUUGCACAGUAACAACUACGUUUCUCUCUAGCAGAAGUUUUAAAAUAAACAAAAUUAAAAAUAAUUAAACAAACAAAUAGCAGGACAGGUUGUCACAUAUGCUCUAUUUGCUCUAUUUGUUGUUUUCUGCUAUUAAAAAGGCAUUAAAUAGUCUAAAAUGGGAGAGUCCCAUUGUGACAACUUUCCUCAAUCAUGCCCCCCAAAACCUACAUGUAAUAAAUAAACUGAUUUUCUCUCUCUCUCUCUCUCUCUCUCUCUCUCUCUCUCUCUCUCUCUCUCUCUGAUGAGCAAUAACAAUUCAAUUCUUUGUGUGCCUGUGAAGGUAUUCAUACAGAAAAAUAAACUAUGAGAAAUGUUCAGUUGUGUAAAAACUAGCCUUCCUAAGAGUUAUAAAUAAAAAAAGCCACUAAAGUACAUAAACCAAUCUGUCGAGAUUCAUGCUUGACAUGAAAGAAGUAAUAAUAUGUUUGGAGUCUUUCGCACCAGUUUUCUUUCACACCAGUUUAACCUAAAAGAGCUGUUGUCUAUAUAGAACAGUUUGUACUUACAUCUUGUAUUGAGACCAAAAGAAAUGGUGCAUGAGAAUUGGAUUGAUUUCUAAAUGCAGGCAUCAGUGCUUUGGCUAAACAAGAGUUAGUUCACUGAAAGAAGUGUGCAUGUAGAGAAUGAUGUUUUCGAUGCAUCUGAUUCUUAUUUUGUUGUCCAUAUGUUUAAUGGCACAAAUGAACUUUUCAUAUCAGCUUCAAGAUACAAUUCACACUCUGAGAGAGGAGAACGCGUACCUACAUCACAGACUGAAAAACCUCACGCAGACACUGCGAGAGCUGAGAAAACUUCUGGAUCACUCACAUGAGUCUGCUGUGAAUCGUGAUAGUGACACGUUGCAUGCCUGGAAUGAGUGGAUUAAGAAUGGUAUAUGGCUUUUUUACAGCACUAUUGUAAUCUGAAAAGUUUUCUCACCUUCUGAUAUAUAUAGUGAAUCAGUGCAGUAUAUGAUUGAACAUGAGCUUAAGCCAGGCUAACAGCUACUGUACUCGAGUCCAUGUAUAAAAGUAUUGUGUGUUAAUGUUGUAUCAGAGCAGACUGAGAUGCUGUGUGGUGUUUUUCAGGUGUCAGCACAGAGACUCAUCUCAUGUUAGAACAAGCUUUCUGCCUGCCAGAUCUUCAUGCCAAUGCUAAUUUAUAUUUCCUAGAGCAAAUUCUUCUGGUUGUGUCAGGUCUCCUUUGGACUGGGAUCCUUCUCAUCUAAAUAUGGUCAUAAUAUUCUAAUCUAACCUUUUAACCUUUCUGUUGAAUUUUUCUAAUUAAAAUGUGUACAUAUUAACACUAAAUAUUAACAAUGAGGUUUCUUUUAACAUUAGUUAGCUAGAUUCCACAGCAUAUAUUAAUCUUAGUUUAUAAUCAAAAAUUUUAAAAUCAAAAGAAGUACUUGUUAACACUAAUUCAUGUAAAUAAUGUCUUUUUUUAUAGUAUUCAUGUUAGCUAAUGCAUUACCUAAUGUUUACAUAAGAGACCUUAGUAAAGUGUUACCAAAUAAAUAAACUAUGCUUUCACAUUUCAUAUAAUCAUCUCAAUUAAAUAGUAAUUUUAUUGAUUAGUCAGCUGACUUAGACUUAUUCCCCCCUCCCCCCAUGCAUUAACUUAUUUUGAUAUCAACAUUUUACAUUGGGUUGUCUAUUCAGGUCACAUAACUUUGGGAAACAAUCAAUAGCCUGUAUUAUUAAUAUUCUAGUGAAGCCUGGUUAUGAAAUCAUGUAUGACAAGUGCAAAUAAAAGAGGUUCAUUUGUGAGAAAACUUUAUAUUUGGUGCUUUGUUCUUAUUAUCAAUGUUGAAAAAAGUUGCGAUGCCUUAUGUUUUUGUGCAAACUGGGAUCCACUACCAUUCGAAAGUCUGCAGUAAGGUAAUUUUUUAACUUUUAUUCUACAAGGACACAUUAAAUUGAUCAAAAGUGACAGUAAAUACAUUUAUAAUGCUACAAAAGGUUUCUUUUUCAAAUAAAAGCUUUUUUUUUUUUUUUCUAUUUAUCAACGAAAAAAUUAUGACACACUGCUAAACUAGAUGCUCCAACUGUUUUCAACACUGAUAAUAAAAAGAAAUGUUUCUUGAGCAGCAGUUCAGCAUAUCAGAAUGAUUUCUGCAUUAUCAUGUGACACUGAAAACUUGAGUAAUGGCUGCUGAAAAACCAGCUUUGCAUCACAGGAAUAAAAUACAUUUGUUUUUAAAAAAAUAUGUUAAAACAGAAAACAAUUAUUCUAAAUCGUAUUAGAAUAUUAAUAUUUCACACUAUUAAUGAUUUAAUGUUCCUUUUAUUGUCAUAUAAAUGCAGACUUGGUGAUUAAAUUAUUUAUCAUAACACUUGAUUCUGUUUCUAACAAAGACAAAUGUGAUGAAUUUGUUGUUGUGCCAUCUUUUGUUGAUUUGUUGGACAGAUCUGGAUCAUCCAUGACAGGUCUUUCUGAUUGAAACUGUAAAUAAAGAAUUAUACAGCUUGUGGUCUCGACAAAUACAUUUUCU